GAUGAACGCUGGCGGCGUGCCUAAUACAUGCAAGUCGAGCGAACAGACGAGGAGCUUGCUCCUCUGACGUUAGCGGCGGACGGGUGAGUAACACGUGGAUAACCUACCUAUAAGACUGGUAUAACUUCGGGAAACCGGAGCUAAUACCGUAUAAUAUAUUGAACCGCAUGGUUCAAUGGUGAAAUACGGUUUUGCUGUCACUUAUAGAUGGAUCCGCGCCGCAUUAGCUAGUUGGUACGGUAACGGCUUACCAAGGCAACGAUGCGUAGCCGACCUGAGAGAGUGAUCGGCCACACUGGAACUGGGACGCGGUCCAGACUCCUACGGGAGGCAGCAGUAGGGAAUCUUACGCAAUGGGCGAAAGCCUGACGGAGCAACGCCGCGUGAGUGAUGAAGGUCUUCGGAUCGUAAAACUCUGUUAUUAGGGAAGAACAAAUGUGUAAGUAACUAUGCACGUCUUGACGGUACCUAAUCAGAAAGCCACGGCUAACUACGUG
rnacentral:rRNA from 1 species